AUGCGGGUAAUAUAGCCUUGCGAAGUUUGCCGUCAUUUUGCAUUACAAAUGGGAAAUUGAUAAUCAGAUGAUCAAACUGAUUAUCAAUUUCCCGUUUGUAAUACAAAAUGACUGAAAAACGGCAAACUUUGCAAGGCUAUAUUAUCCGCAUUU
rnacentral:miRNA from 1 species